rnacentral:rRNA from 1 species
UACAGAGGUCUCAAGCGUUGUUCGGAUUCAUUGGGCGUAAAGGGUGCGUAGGCGGCGCGGUAAGUCGGGUGUGAAAUUUCGAGGCUUAACUUCGAAACUGCAUUCGAUACUGCCGUGCUAGAGGACUGGAGAGGAGACUGGAAUUUACGGUGUAGCGGUGAAAUGCGUAGAUAUCGUAAAGGAAGACCAGUGGCGAAGGCGGGUCUCUGGACAGUUCCUGACGCUGAGGCACGAAGGUCAGGGGAGCAAACGGG